rnacentral:misc_RNA from 1 species
UUGUGGAGGAGGACGCCGAAGGUGGGGCUAAUGACUGGGGUGAAGUCGUAACAAGGUAGCCGUACCGGAAGGUGCGGCUGGAUCACCUCCUAACAGGGAGACAACAAAAUGUUUAAAAUUAUUAUUUUGUCACCUUAGGUCGAUCGGUAUCUCACAUUCUUAAAUUUAUUGAGAAUUUCUUUUCCUAAGUUUUUCUAGGUCACACCCAUUUUUUUCCUGGGCCAUUAGCUCAGGUGGUUAGAGCGCACCCCUGAUAAGGGUGAGGUCCCUGGUUCAAGUCCAGGAUGGCCCAUAUCUCUAUGUUGGGGGUAUAGCUCAGUUGGUAGAGCGCCUGCUUUGCAAGCAGGAUGUCAGCGGUUCGAGUCCGCUUACCUCCACUGAUUACCACCUCUUCCAUAAUCCGUAGAAAGGAAAAUUUUUGAGUAGUGAUCAUUAUUCUGAACGAAUCUAGCUUCCUAAUAAAACCAUUAAGAUGCUGGACUCAUUGAAUUAAUUUCAUUGUUUUCAGAGAACCUUGACAACUGCAUAGAUUAUUUUUAAAGACAAUAAGCAUCUUUAAUGAUGCAGAUUUAUUAUUUGUGCAAAUGCAUUAAUAACAAUUCUAUUAAGCUGAUGCUUCAAUUUUGAAGUUAUUGGUCAAGCUACAA